rnacentral:rRNA from 1 species
GAUGAACGCUGGCGGCGUGCCUAAUACAUGCAAGUCGAGCGAAUGGAUUAAGAGCUUGCUCUUAUGAAGUUAGCGGCGGACGGGUGAGUAACACGUGGGUAACCUGCCCAUAAGACUGGGAUAACUCCGGGAAACCGGGGCUAAUACCGGAAAACAUUUUGAACCGCAUGGUUCGAAAUUGAAAGGCGGCUUCGGCUGUCACUUAUGGAUGGAUCCGUGUCGCAUUAGCUAGUUGGUGAGGUAACGGGUACACAAGGCAACGAUGCGUAGCCGACCUGAGAGGGUGAUCGGCCACACUUGGACUGAGACACGGCCCAGAAUCCUACGGGAGGCAGCAGGAGGGAAUCAUCCGCAAUGGACGAAAGUCUGACGGAGCAACGCCGCGUGAGUGAUGAAGGCUUUCGGGUCGUAAAACUCUGUUGUUAGGGAAGAACAAGUGCUAGUUGAAUAAGCUGGCACCUUGACGGUACCUAACCAGAAAGCCACGGCUAACUACGUGCCAGCAGCCGCGGUAA